GGCUCUGUGGCGCAAUGGCUAGCACAUUGGACUUUUAGAGGGUGAAGGGAUUCAAAGGUUCUGGGUUCAGCUCCUGGCAGAGUUG
rnacentral:tRNA from 1 species